AGUUUUAAGUUUAGUCUGCGAACUGAUUUGAUGCGGUUUGGCAACAAACGUGUUAGAACGUUUUAUGACGUUUAUGAAACAUUAUAUAUUUCAUAAACCAAACGUUUUAUGAAAUAUAACGUGAGUAGAAGUCGUGAUAAGAAUACGAGAUCCCAUCAGAUUAAUUACAUUCGGAUCAGUUUUUUAUUUUCGGUAAAACGGAAAGAAAGUGGCAAGAAAAAAUGAAAGUUUUAAAAAGGAGUUUCAAGUCGUUUAGAGCGACAAAUCAAGAAAUGGUGUUGAAUUUGGAACACAAAUCACAAAAGUUUUG
rnacentral:misc_RNA from 1 species